AUACGGAGGGUGCAAGCGUUAAUCGGAAUUACUGGGCGUAAAGCGUACGUAGGCGGUUAGUUAAGUUAGAUGUGAAAGCCCCGGGCUUAACCUGGGAACUGCAUUUAAAACUGGCAAACUAGAGUUUAGUAGAGGGAAGUGGAAUUUCAGGUGUAGCGGUGAAAUGCGUAGAGAUCUGAAGGAACACCAGUGGCGAAGGCGACUUCCUGGACUAAAACUGACGCUGAGGUACGAAAGCGUGGGUAGCAAACGGGAUUAGAAACCCUAGUAGUCC
rnacentral:rRNA from 1 species